CCAUCAUUCAUUGGGCACUCUAGCGAGACUGCCGGUAAUAAACCGGAGGAAGGUGGGGAUGACGUCAAAUCAUCAUGCCCUUAUGACCUGGGCUACACACGUGCUACAAUGGUUGGUACAACGAGUUGCGAGUCGGUGACGGCGAGCUAAUCUCUUAAAGCCAAUCUCAGUUCGGAUUGUAGGCUGCAACUCGCCUACAUGAAGUCGGAAUCGCUAGUAAUCGCGGAUCAGCACGCCGCGGUGAAUACGUUCCCGGGCCUU
rnacentral:rRNA from 1 species